rnacentral:lncRNA from 1 species
AUGAAGACUGCAGCGCACGCCUUGAGCCCCGACUCCCAGCCAGAGACUCAGCAUCAGACAAGAAAGAAUGAGGAGGCGGCUCCAGGCUCACCGACACCCAGGGCGGGGAGGGAGGGCAGAAAGGGCCCCGCCUCAAUCCUGAGACGAAGCUCACAGGAGCGCUGUGGCCGUGGGGAUGAGCCGCGGAGGACCACGAGGCACGUGCGGUUCCGAGAGCCCCUGGAGGUGGCCGUCCGCUACAUCGCCUGCAGGGAGCCCACCGCCGCUGCCCAGGAGCCCAGCCGGCCUCGGCCCCGCGGCAGCUCCCUGCUUCUGCGGCUGACGACCUGCGUCCUGCUGGCGCUGGUGCUGGGCGUGUGCUGUGGCCAGGCCGGGCCCGUGGCCGGGGCCCUGGAGGACCUCCGGGCCCGGCUCCUCGCCGCCCUCCUGCGCCUGCGGCUGGCUGCCCUGGACUGCUGGCGCUGCCUGCUGCAGCUCUGA